rnacentral:tRNA from 1 species
GUUUUAAUAAUUUAAAUAAAAUAUUGAUCUUGUAAAUCAAAAAUAGGAAAACUCCUUUAAAACU